rnacentral:rRNA from 1 species
AUUGAACGCUGGCGGCAUGCCUUACACAUGCAAGUCGAACGGUAACGGGCCUUCGGGUGCCGACGAGUGGCGAACGGGUGAGUAAUGCAUCGGAACGUACCUUUCAGUGGGGGAUAACGUAGCGAAAGUUACGCUAAUACCGCAUAUUCUGUGAGCAGGAAAGCAGGGGAUCGCAAGACCUUGCGCUGAUUGAGCGGCCGAUGUCAGAUUAGCUAGUUGGUGAGGUAAAGGCUCACCAAGGCCACGAUCUGUAGCGGGUCUGAUAGGAUGAUCCGCCACACUGGAACUGAGACACGGUCCAGACUCCUACGGGAGGCAGCAGUGGGGAAUUUUGGACAGUGGGGGCAACCCUGAUCCAGCCAUGCCGCGUGAGUGAAGAAGGCCUUCGGGUUGUAAAGCUCUUUCGGUCGGGAAGAAAUCGCAUGGGUUAAUACCCUGUGCGGAUGACGGUACCGGCAUAAGAAGCACCGGCUAACUACGUGCCAGCAGCCGCAGUAAAAC